AUUGAACGCUGGCGGCAGGCCUAACACAUGCAAGUCGAACGAGUGGCGGACGGGUGAGUAAUGUCUGGGAAACUGCCUGAUGGAGGGGGAUAACUACUGGAAACGGUAGCUAAUACCGCAUACCAUGGGAUGUGCCCAGAUGGGAUUAGCUAGUAGGUGGGGUAAAGGUACACCUAGGCGACGAUCCCUAGCUGGUCUGCGAGGCUGACCAGCCACACUGGAAUUGAGACACGCGCCAGACUCCUACGGGAGGCAGCAGUGGGAAAUAUUGGACAAUGGGCGCAAGCCUGAUGCACCCAUGCCGCGUGUAGGAAGAAGGCCUUCGGGUUGUAAAGUACUUUCAGCGGGGAGGCGUUACCCGCAGAAGAAGCACCGGCUAACUCCGGGCCAGCAGCCGCGUAAUAC
rnacentral:rRNA from 1 species